UACGUAGGUGGCAAGCGUUGUCCGGAUUUACUGGGCGUAAAGAGCGCGCAGGCGGUCGUUCAAGUCGCGUGUGAAAGCCCCCGGCUCAACUGGGGAGGGUCACGCGAUACUGAUCGACUCGAAGGCAGGAGAGGGAAGUGGAAUUCCCGGUGUAGUGGUGAAAUGCGUAGAUAUCGGGAGGAACACCCGUAGCGAAGGCGGCGCUCUGGGCCGGUACUGACGCUGAGGAGCGAAAGCGUGGGGAGCGAACAGG
rnacentral:rRNA from 1 species